UACGUAGGGGGGCGAGCGUUUGUCCGGAAUCAUUGGGCGUAAAGAGCUCGUAGGCGGCUCAGUAAGUCAGGUGUGAAAACUCCAGGCUCAACCUGGAGACGCCACUUGAUACUGCUGUGGCUAGAGUCCGGUAGGGGAGCAUGGAAUUCCUGGUGUAGCGGUGAAAUGCGCAGAUAUCAGGAGGAACACCAGUGGCGAAGGCGGUGCUCUGGGCCGGAACUGACGCUGAGGCGCGAAAGCCGUGGGGAGCAAACGGG
rnacentral:rRNA from 1 species